GAUGAACGCUAGCGGCAGGCUUAACACAUGCAAGUCGAGGGGUAGAGUUCUUCGGGACUUGAGACCGGCGCACGGGUGCGUAACGCGUAUGCAAUCUACCUUUCACAGAGGGAUAGCCCAGAGAAAUUUGGAUUAAUACCUCAUAGUAUUACGAGAUGGCAUCAUUUUGUAAUUAAAGUCACAACGGUGAAAGAUGAGCAUGCGUCCCAUUAGCUAGUUGGUAUGGUAACGGCAUACCAAGGCUACGAUGGGUAGGGGUCCUGAGAGGGAGAUCCCCCACACUGGUACUGAGACACGGACCAGACUCCUACGGGUGGCAG
rnacentral:rRNA from 1 species